ACAGGAUAUUGUUUUAUGCAACAAGCCAUAAAAUUUCACAUCAAGUAUGAGUGGUGGUGCACGGCUGUUCUUAGUUGAUAGGAGCGAUUUGUUUUGUUAAUUUUGUUAAUGAAUGAGAAAUCAGCCUGCUAACUAUCUAUGUGGAGGUAUUCCUUCUCGUCCAACUUCUUAGAGGUACUACAACCUUUUAGGCUAUGAAAGUAUGAGACAGUAAUAGGUCUGUGAUGCCCUUAGAUGUUCUGGACUUCAUCAGUGCUGCACUGAUGUAUUCAACGAGUUUGAAGCAUUGGUUGAUAGGAUCGUAUAAUCUUUGAAAUUUCAUCGUGAUAGGGAUAGAUCAUUUCAAUUGUUGGUCUUCAAUGAAGA
rnacentral:ncRNA from 1 species